AUUGAUUGAAGUAAAAUCUAAGGAAAGUAGGACCUGGAUGUAAAAUAAUACCAACUUUAAGGUAUGUAUGUUGACGGUAACAAAUCCUUGUUUCAAGGUAACAUUAAAGAUAAUGAACGGUUCUAGUUUAUUGCUUCUAUAAUAAUACAAUACCUAAUUACAGAUAUAGAAAUAUGAAGAUGUGGUAUGAUUGCAAUUUUGGAAAACUCUCCAAAAAACCAAAUGACAUAUAAAUUAACAGCUAUAGGUCACAAUUCUGCCUUCAAAAAUGAGUAAAACCCAUACCACAUACAUGUUACGUUAGCUAUAAAUUGGCCAAAAAAUGAAAAUUGUAAAAAAAAUUCAGUCGAGAAAACAAACUGCCUAAUUCAUGUCCAAAAUAAUGAACAAAACAAAUAUGUUACACAGCAACAAACAUUAACCACUGAAUAACAGGCACAUACAGAGUGUGGCAGGGUUAAACUAGUUUGAAGGCAUAUUGUCCUUAUCCAUCAAAUCUUUGGUUGAAUGAAAAUUUUUAAUCCAUGGUGCCUGAAAAAAUUGACAUGUUUAUUUUAAACAAAUCUGAAGAAGCAAAAUGUAAGUACAAUGGUGGCAUUUCAUACUUAAGAUGCCAUAAGAUUUGAUACAAUUCUGAACUGCUUUAUAUGAAGAAUUUCUUCAGCCUCUGUCUCCUGGUUACCCCAUAUAUGGAUAAAAUGUAAAUAUCUUCUGACAUCAACAUUAUAUAUAAUUUUUUGUGAAUUUUAGUUUACAUGUUUUGAAUGAAAUUUUAUUUUCUAUUUGUAGACAAAGCGUGCUUGUUAAUUUAAAAAUCAACUGAAGCAGAAGAAUGGAUUCUGUUGAUCUGAGGAACUUGGAAACACUUAUUGACAAAAAAAUAUGUAGUAAUACAAUUAUGUUUACUCUGAGAGAUAGAAAGAGGGGAGAGCCAGUUGUAAAGAUUUAUUCUUUUAAACCAGAUAUGUUGAUUACUUUCGAAUUUCAUAGGCCUACAGUUCCCCCUAAAUAGUCUUAAUUAAUACAUGUACUAGGUGUUUAAUGUAAGACUUUGAUGUGACUUGUGAGAACAACCAGCUGCCAUUGGUUAAAAUUUAUUUUUAUGCCCUUUUAGUUGGGGGGGGGGGGGGGGGGGCAUAUUGUUUUACUCCUGUUCUAACUUCCUACUGUCCUAUUAUGAGUAAAUAAAUAUAAGAAGAUGUGAAAUGUUGACAAUGAGACAACUCUUCAUCCAAAUUCACAGCUAUUCCAGAUAACUACUCCUAGAGUUUAAUGAGUUAUCUCCCAUAUUUGUAGGUACUUUUGAUAUUUUGAUAUUUCAUGAUAAGGCUAAUGCAAAUAGAAGAUUUAACUUGUUUUGAAAUUUAACAAACUGAGCAUAAGUUGUGAGAAAUGGAAACUAGCAGGCUGAGAUUUAGGGUUAAGGGAGGGAAUACACUGCUUACAAUGCUUAUCUCUUCAUAUGAGCUAGUUUGUUCACUGCAUGGAAGGCCUGCAAUAAAUAAGAAUGUAUUGGUUUACUUAUAAUUGUUAUAUAUUUUAUGUUAGAUAUGCUAUAUCAGAUGUAAAUAAAGUAAGAUGACAGUAUUAUUUAGAGCUCUGUAAAUAAAAUCAGCUUGUAAACAUAAGUCUAGAUAAUGCAUUAAGUGGUUUGGUCUGACAUGGUGAUUUCAAAUUAUAUUUACGUCAUCAUCAUCUCCAAAAGUGUUUCCAUUCUCAAUUUUAUCUGAUAUUAAACGCCCCUUCCUC
rnacentral:lncRNA from 1 species